GAGUUUGAUCCUGGCUCAGGAUGAACGCUGUUUCGCGUGCUUAACACAUGCAAGUCGAACGAAGCACGGGGACGGAAGCCCUCCGGGGUGGAAGGCCGCGUGACUGAGUGGCGGACGGGUGAGUAACGCGUGGGUAACCUGCCCCAUACAGGGGGAUAACAGCCGGAAGCGGCUGCUAAUACCGCAUGCACAUGCGGGGGCGCAUGCCCCUGGAUGGAAAGCUUUCGCGGUAUGGGAUGGGCCCGCGUCUGAUUAGGCAGUUGGCGGGGUAACGGCCCACCAAACCGACGAUCAGUAGCCGGCCUGAGAGGGCAACCGGCCACAUUGGGACUGAGACACGGCCCAAACUCCUACGGGAGGCAGCAGUGGGGAAUAUUGCACAAUGGGGGGAACCCUGAUGCAGCGACGCCGCGUGGGUGAAGGAGUAUUUCGGUAUGUAAAGCCCUAUCAGCAGGGAAGAACAAUGACGGUACCUGACUAAGAAGCACCGGCUAAAUACGUGCCAGCAGCCGCGGUAAUACGUAUGGUGCAAGCGUUAUCCGGAUUUACUGGGUGUAAAGGCAGCGCAGGCGGCGCGUUAAGCCUGGUGUGAAAGCCCGCGGCCCAACCGCGGGACUGCAUUGGGAACUGGCGCGCUGGAGUGCCGGAGGGGUAGGCGGAAUUCCUAGUGUAGCGGUGAAAUGCGUAGAUAUUAGGAGGAACACCAGUGGCGAAGGCGGCCUACUGGACGGUGACUGACGCUGAGGCUCGAAAGCGUGGGGAGCAAACAGGAUUAGAUACCCUGGUAGUCCACGCCGUAAACGGUG
rnacentral:rRNA from 1 species